CUACGAAGGUGGCUAGCGUUGUUCGGAAUUACUUGGCGUAAAGCGCACGUAGGCGGAUUUGUUAGUCAGAGGUGAAAUCCCGGGGCUCAACCCCGGAACUGCCUUUGAUACUGCAAGUCUUGAGUCCGGGAGAGGUGAGUGGAAUUCCUAGUGUAGAGGUGAAAUUCGUAGAUAUUAGGAAGAACACCAGUGGCGAAGGCGGCUCACUGGCUCGGUACUGACGCUGAGGUGCGAAAGCGUGGGGAGCAAACAGGAUUAGAUACCCUAGUAGUCC
rnacentral:rRNA from 1 species